CGGCAGGUCGAUGCUUACACAUGCAGUCGAUUCAAGUUACCUUCGGGUAAUGAGGAUGGCGGACGGGUGAGUAACGCGUAAGGAACUUGCCUCUUGGACUGGGACAACUGUUGGAAACGACAGCUAAUACCGGAUAUUAUGAGAUUCUCGCAUGAGAAACUUACGAAAGCUAUAUGCGCCAAGAGAGAGCCUUGCGUUCCAUUAGCUAGUUGGUGGGGUAACGGCCCACCAAGGCGACGAUGGAUAGCCGGCCUGAGAGGGUGAACGGCCACAAGGGGACUGAGACACGGCCCUUACUCCUACGGGAGGCAGCAGUGGGGAAUAUUGGACAAUGGGCCACAAGCCUGAUCCAGCAAUUCUGUGUGCACGAUGAAGGUCUUCGGAUUGUAGAGUGCUUUCAGUUGGGAAGAAGAAAGUGACGGUACCAACAGAAGAAGCGACGGCUAAAUACGUGCCAGCAGCCGCGGUAAUACGUAUGUCGCAAGCGUUAUCCGGAUUUAUUGGGCGUAAAGCGCGUCUAGGCGGAAAAAUAAGUCUGAUGUUAAAAUGCGGGGCUCAACUCCGUAUUGCGUUGGAAACUGUUUUUCUAGAGUACUGGAGAGGUGGGCGGAACUACAAGUGUAGAGGUGAAAUUCGUAGAUAUUUGUAGGAAUGCCGAUGGAGAAGUCAGCUCACUGGACAGAUACUGACGCUGAAGCGCGAAAGCGUGGGGAGCAAACAGGAUUAGAUACCCUGGUAGUCCACGCCGUAAACGAUGAUCACUAGGUGUUGGGGGUCGAACCUCAGCGCCCAAGCUAACGCGAUAAGUGAUCCGCCUGGGGAGUACGCACGCAAGUGUGAAACUCAAAGGAAUUGACGGGGACCCGCACAAGCGGUGGAGCAUGUGGUUUAAUUCUACGCAACGCGAGAAACCUUACCAGCGUUUGACAUCCUAAGAAGGUUCCGAAGAUGGAUUCGGGCCGGGUAGCCGGAACUUUGGGGCGGGUGGUGCUUGGUUU
rnacentral:rRNA from 1 species